AGUCAGCAGGGGGCGCCUGGGGCGGCCUGGCCUUGUGGCUCCCGCUGAAAUCAGCCCAGCAGGAGGGAGGGUGCCAGUGCCCUCCUAUGCAGGUCAAACUCCUAACAAAUGAUGUGGCUGGAGAAUACUUGACAGCACGAUGACGAAACAUGUCAGUAUACAAUGAGAUCAUGAAACACGCUGUGCCCAGCUCUGCGGUUAGUUCACAGUAUUUUACAGAGCGUCGUUUCCAAACGCUCAGGAAACACCAGCUACCUAUAAUACCGUGUGACAUGCACCUUCUUCAACACUCAGCACAGCUCUGCAGUAACGGCCCAGCCUGAUCUUCACGUUGGAGCACUGUAUCCCGUGUCUUUGACAUCCCUACGGCAGCUGGAUGAGAUGUGUCAUCAGUCACAGGUGCACUGGGGAUGAUGCUGACUUGCCAGCUAGAGGGUCGUCCGAGGUGGAUUCUGGGUCAACACCCUUUUCAGGUAGAAGGAAUUGUUCUUCACUUUUCAAGUCUUAUUCAGGGCCACACCUUGCUGCUUUGGAGAGGACUCCGUGUGAGCCAAUGGUCCUGAGCUUUGAGCAGGAUGGAAUUACUAGAGAAUCCUUUGCGUGGCCACCUUGGAGACAGAAAGCGACAUCUGCGUCCCAGCCGAGAUUGUGCACUGUUCCUCAGCAGAGGGCCCCUGGCUGAAAGAUUCCUUGAUAAGCAUGUGCAGAAAACUGUAUCUGCUGGAGCUUUAUAGAGAAUAGGUCAAAUAUUUUCAUCACUUUAAUAAUCUUCAUGAAGUUAAACUAGAAGAAAGUCAACUUAUUCAUGUCUGCUGCUCCUUUAGAAGUCAGCACCAAUGCAGUGGCAGGAGGACAUGCAAGUUGGGAAUUUUAAAAGGUGAGAUUUGCUCUCCAGCACUGGUCCCUGCCAGGUGUGACCUUCACAUAUUCUUUCCACAAGGUCCAGGCCCCCAUUUGCGGAGGCCGACAGUUCCCAGAGUGGCUUUCAUCAGAAAACAGGAUCUUAGAGGAGACAGUCAGAGGAGGGGGCUUCGUCCUCCCCACCGCACAGCCCCUUGUAGGGAUUGGAAGGUGAGGGUCUCUGCCCAUGAGGUGGCAGUCACCCUAAGCUGUGGUGUGGGAGGAAGCCUAGAGAAUAUAGGUUGGUGCUGGGACAGCAUUUCUUGGUCCUGACUUGGAGAAGGUGUUAAAAUCCUGACAUUCCCGACUCCUUCUUUGUGGGAGCCCCUGCCCUGCAGAUCUCAUGGGGUUGUUGUGAGGGUCAGCUGGGGUGAUGGGUUUGGAAGUGCUUUGUGAAUGACACAGUGGGCCUUCCUAUUUCUGUCACUGGCCCUUUGACCUUGAGUACUAAUUGCCUGGGAUCUCCAGGUUUCAAGGUCUAAUCCUGGAAGGGUACGAGGUGUCCCCAGUGGAACAUUCUACAGCACUUCCUGGGAGGUCCCUUUCUUCCACCUUUACCCAACAUAACCCCUGCUCCCGUUCCUUCAGCCUGGAGAGCUUGCCAAGGGGCACAAGAUGGUACUGGACUGAAUUUCUCUUUGGAAAAGAGAAGAGAUUACUUCCUCGUUUCAGCUGUUCCUCUUCCUAACUUGCCCUGUGGAAUUCCAGGGCUCUGUGCAGCAUUUUCCAGACAUGAGAGGGAGAACUUCUAGGGCAGCGAUCUGCCCUGGGUGGGAAUGGAGGAUUAUUCUAGAGUCUGGGUGUCAGAAGUGUGAGCCCUGCCCAGGGGGGUGAUGGACUAUCCCUGGGGGCCAACAUGCUGCUGUGUGGGGAGCCAGGGAAGAUGCUGCUCUUUCCCAUCACCUUUUGGAUCUAUGGAGUUGUCCACCCCGAUCCCCGGUCUCCUCACAAGUGGCCUCUACCUUCCCCCUGACCUAUGCCACCCCUCAUGUGAGGUUUUAUCACCUGCACCAGUGCCUGCCUCUCUGCUUCCAGACCCAUGGCUCAUGACCCUCUCUCUCCUCACCCCUUCCAUGUCCAUUCCCUCUCCCCCUAGAGCCCGUUUCCAUCCAUACCCCACCGUGUCCUUCACCACGUCCUCACCUGACCCCGCACCUCCCCAGCCCACCUUUCCCUUGAAGGAGUGAAUGCCAUCCCAAAAUAUGCCAAGCUGGUAUAUUGAUAAUUUUAUGUUAAAAACAUUAGAGAAAUUGUAGUUUUAGAAAGGGUGAGCUGACCUGCCUCUUCCUGCAUGUGGCAAGCCAUAAAGACUCCUCUGGGGGCGGCACCCCCACACAAGGGCAAGAAGAGAGCCCUUAGCACCAGAGACUGGGGAUUGGGGGCAGCAAUGGACCCGAGUAAAUGUACUUCACAAAGU